AAUCCGGGCAGAGUGGUCCAGAGUACUGGGAAUGGGAAUAAAAUACGAACACGGCCAUGAUUGUAACUGACCUCAAAGAGGAAGGACAAAUCCACUGUUUGAACGGAAAACUUGUGAUGCUUCUGAAUUUAUUGAUGAAGUUCUGCACAAGAAUGUAAAAAGGAAACAACACAGAGAAAAAAAAAUUGGAAGAAUAACAUUAGUACGGAAGUAAGACACAAAACAACUACUCCAUUCAACAGUUCAACAUGUGAACCUUUACUGUGACCAUU